AAGGAAGGUUGAGAGGGCAAUUAACUUGCUAAUCCAGUCAGGUCUGAAAGGAAGCAGCUGUACCAAGCUUAAUUGGGUCUCUUAAACCUUCCAAUUU
rnacentral:SRP_RNA from 1 species